GACUACAGGGGUAUCUAAUCCUGUUUGAUCCCCACGCUUUCGUGCCUCAGCGUCAGUAAUGGGUUGGUAACCUGCCUUCGCCGUCGGUGUUCUGUGUCAUCUCUAAGCAUUUCACCGCUACAUGACACAUUCCAGCUACCUCAACCAUACUCCAGACUAACAGUAUCAAUGGCAGUUCUGCAGUUAAGCUGCAGGAUUUCACCACUGACUUAUCAAUCCGCCUACGCACCCUUUAAACCCAGUAAAUCCGGAUAACGCUUGGAUCCUCCGUAUUACCGCGGCUGCUGGCACGGAGUUAGCCGAUCCUUAUUCUUACGGUACCUUCAGCUCCGAACACGUUCGGAGGGUUAUUCCCGUACAAAAGAAGUUUACAACCCAGAGGGCCGUCAAUCCUUCACGCGGCAUGGCUGGGUCAGAGUUGCCUCCAUUGCCCAAUAUUCCUUACUGCAGCCCCCCGUAGG
rnacentral:rRNA from 1 species